UGAGGAAUAUUGGUCAAUGGGCGCAAGCCUGAACCAGCCAUCCCGCGUGAAGGAAGAAGGCGCUAUGCGUUGUAAACUUCUUUUCCAGGGGGAGAAUUUUUCCGACGUGACGGGAAUUGACGGUACUCUGGGAAUAAGCAUCGGCUAACUCCGUGCCAGCAGCCGCGGUAAUACGGAGGAUGCGAGCGUUAUCCGGAUUUAUUGGGUUUAAAGGGUGCGUAGGCGGAUAGGUAAGUCAGUGGUGAAAUUCUGUAGCUUAACGGUAG
rnacentral:rRNA from 1 species